rnacentral:rRNA from 1 species
UGGGGAAUUUUGCACAAUGGGGGAAACCCUGAUGCAGCGACGCCGCGUGAUUUAGAAGGCCUUCGGGUUUUAAAAAUCUUUUCUAUGGGAAGAAAAUGACAUUACCAUAGGAAUAAGGACUGGCUAAUUACGUGCCAGCAGCCGCGGUAAUACGUAAGGUCCGAGCCUUGUCCGGAAUCAUUGGGCGUUAAGGGUCCGUAGGCGGAUAAGCAAGUUAGAAGUGAAAUCCUAUAGCUCAACUAUAGUAAGCGUUUAGAACUGCUCAUCUUGAGGUAUGGAAGGGAAAGUGGGAUUACUAGGGUAGCGGUGAAAUGCGCAGAUAUUAGGAGGAAAACCGGUGGCGAAGGCGAAUUUUUGGACAUAUACUGAAGCUGAGGUACGAAAGCGGGGGUAGCAAACAGG